AAACAAUUUAGAAGCAGACACUGCAUAAACAGAAUUAAUUGGGUCACCGUUAAAUACGUCUCCGGUCAGAAGAUUAAGGUGAACUAGAGACACCCCAUUAUCUGUACCCGCAGUUUAUGUUACGGAGGAGGAGACCUGUCAUAACCAUUAUUUUUGGAUCAAUAUGUGCCCUUGCUGUCUUUCUAUCAUUUAAACAUUACUUUGGAGACGGCAUAAAAGAAAAUAAAGGUAAAAAAUUAGUGAUAAGAAAGAGGAGGGACCAUAUAGACCUGGCGAUUCAUGACUCAUUAUUUAUACACCAGUUUGAUCAAAUACCGGACAGACAGCACGAAAAAGAUGAUUCUGCUCAACAUGAUUUCGUAAACAUCUUCCAACAGCGAAGUCGAACAGAGGCGCCAUGUGUCCCUUUCCAAACUUGGAGAGGGACAAUCAAGAUUUGCACCCAUGACCCUAAACAAGACAAAAUGAUCUCUGCGUUUGUUCACUCAUUUGCGACAUGGGAACAAAAUUUUCUGAAUGCGACUGGAGACGUUCUAACAAGGUACCCGGAUAUGACUUUUGUUGAUCUGGGCUGCAAUAUAGGAGCAUACACGCUGUUUGCUGCCAGUCUUGGAAACCGGGUCGUCUCUGUGGACGCUUUUGAUGGAAAUCUCGCCUUGUUAGCGGAGUCUCUGAGACUUGAUUCCUUGGAAAGUAACGUGACGCUCGUCCACAACGCCAUUUCCGACAAGCACGAAAACGUCACAUUAGAAUUAAACACACAUAACGUCGGCGGUUCUUACGUGAAAUCACUAAAAGACAUCGGACCUCCUCAAAAUGUGGUCGUGUCUAUAGUAAUGGAUGAUUUAAUUCCUCUAAUUAAAUCCAGGGACGUUUUUGUGAAGAUGGACAUAGAGGGUUCAGAGCUUAGGGCGCUUCAAGCUGCCAAACAAUUCCUGCAAGUUCUCAAUGUCAAGUUCAUUUUAAUGGAGUGGGUUUUACACAAGAACAACCCAAGUGCAUUGGAAAUCAUUAAGAUUAUGACGAACAAUGGUUUUUUACCAUUUUGGGACCAUCAACAGUUACUUCCAUUGAGGGUUAACAGCUAUGUUUAUUGGCCAGAAAAUGUGUUUUAGAUUAAGCGGUGAUUUUAAGCGGUGCCAUAGUUGUUUAUCACAUUUGUUUAAAUCAUAAUUGAAUAAAAAUACAUACAUGUACAUACAUGUUCAGAAAUAUAUGCUAAGUUUUAUAUUUUGUACACAGAAACAGUUUGUUGACUUUAUUAUUCAUUGUUGGUGUUAUCUCAUGACUUUUGUAUUUAAAUUAAUAUUGGAGAACCAGAUAAUUAAAUAUAAAUGUUUUAUUUUUAAGGAUAACUAUGUAUUAAUGAUUAAUAAAUAAUACAAAUGUAUUUUAACCGAGAUGGAUAACAUGCCUAUUUACUAUUGAAGAUAUAUUUCAAUCUUUUAUAUAUACAUAUUUUAUAUUUUACAAUGAAUUGGUUUGAUUUUUUACAAAUUAAACAAGAAAUUAUUUUAU
rnacentral:misc_RNA from 1 species